rnacentral:rRNA from 1 species
AGAGUUUGAUCCUGGCUCAGAAUCAACGCUGGCGGCAUGCCUAACACAUGCAAGUCGAACGCGAAAGUGGAGCAAUCCAUGAGUAGAGUGGCGAACGGGUGAGUAACACGUGGGUGACCUACCUUCGAAUGGGGGAUAACGUUCCGAAAGGGACGCUAAUACCGCAUAACAUCCUGCCUUUGAACAGGUGGAGAUCAAAGCUGGGGAUCGCAAGACCUGGCGUUUGAAGAGGGGCCCGCGUCCGAUUAGCUAGUUGGUGAGGUAAUGGCUCACCAAGGCAACGAUCGGUAGCCGGCCUGAGAGGGCGGACGGCCACACUGGGACUGAGACACGGCCCAGACUCCCACGGGAGGCAGCAGUGGGGAAUUGUUCGCAAUGGGCGCAAGCCUGACGACGCAAUGCCGCGUGGAGGAUGAAGGUCUUCGGAUUGUAAACUCCUGUUGCCCGGGACGAACGUCUCCGACCUAACACGUCGGAGAGUGACGGUACCGGGUGAGGAAGCCCCGGCUAACUCUGUGCCAGCAGCCGCGGUAAUACAGAGGGGGCAAGCGUUGUUCGGAAUUACUGGGCGUAAAGGGCGCGUAGGCGGCCUGCUAAGUCGAACGUGAAAUCCCCGGGCUCAACCCGGGAACUGCGUUCGAGACUGGCGGGCUUGAAUUCGGGAGAGGGAUGCGGAAUUCCAGGUGUAGCGGUGAAAUGCGUAGAUAUCUGGAGGAACACCGGUGGCGAAGGCGGCAUCCUGGACCGACAUUGACGCUGAGGCGCGAAAGCCAGGGGAGCAAACGGGAUUAGAUACCCCCGUAGUCC